CCUGGCUCAGAUUGAACGCUGGCGGCAGGCCCUAACACAUGCAAGUCGAGCGGUAGAGAGAAGCUUGCUUCUCUUGAGAGCGGCGGACGGGUGAGUAAUGCCUAGGAAUCUGCCUGGUAGUGGGGGAUAACGCUCGGAAACGGACGCUAAUACCGCAUACGUCCUACGGGAGAAAGCAGGGGACCUUCGGGCCUUGCGCUAUCAGAUGAGCCUAGGUCGGAUUAGCUAGUUGGUGAGGUAAUGGCUCACCAAGGCGACGAUCCGUAACUGGUCUGAGAGGAUGAUCAGUCACACUGGAACUGAGACACGGUCCAGACUCCUACGGGAGGCAGCAGUGGGGAAUAUUGGACAAUGGGCGAAAGCCUGAUCCAGCCAUGCCGCGUGUGUGAAGAAGGUCUUCGGAUUGUAAAGCACUUUAAGUUGGGAGGAAGGGCAUUAACCUAAUACGUUGGUGUCUUGACGUUACCGACAGAAUAAGCACCGGCUAACUCUGUGCCAGCAGCCGCGGUAAUACAGAGGGUGCAAGCGUUAAUCGGAAUUACUGGGCGUAAAGCGCGCGUAGGUGGUUCGUUAAGUUGGAUGUGAAAUCCCCGGGCUCAACCUGGGAACUGCAUUCAAAACUGACGAGCUAGAGUAUGGUAGAGGGUGGUGGAAUUUCCUGUGUAGCGGUGAAAUGCGUAGAUAUAGGAAGGAACACCAGUGGCGAAGGCGACCACCUGGACUGAUACUGACACUGAGGUGCGAAAGCGUGGGGAGCAAACAGGAUUAGAUACCCUGGUAGUCCACGCCGUAAACGAUGUCAACUAGCCGUUGGGAGCCUUGAGCUCUUAGUGGCGCAGCUAACGCAUGAAGUGAACGCUUUGGGGACCGC
rnacentral:rRNA from 1 species